CAGAAGGAAGCAGUACGACUCGGAUGCGCCUUUUGAGCUAAUUGCCAUGUAGCUGGUCCGCUUCCUACCAAUAAAUUACGAAACUAAUAUGUUUUGCUGGUCACAAACCAUUUCAGCAAAUGGCCACAGGCAUACAAAUACCUAAUCAAGAGACUGAACUAAUAGUGGACGUAUUCAAAACUGGAUAUCAGAAACACAUGAAGGAAGGUAGAAGUAGAGGAACACAAUCGAGCUUCAGACAGUUGCGGAAAGACAAAUAUGCAAAAAUUUGGGAUACCCAAAUUUCCUUGUUCCUGAUGGCUUAUCGGUGUAUUGUACAUGAAACAACGAGGUAGACUGCAGUAAGGGUGAUUUUUAGUAACGAUCUUCAGUUACCCAUUGAUUUGAAGUUUAUAAUAACGCUAACGGAGGAAGAAAUACUAAAUAAGUCAAGAACAUCCUAGACGACGAGGUAAGAAAAACUGAAGCUACGCCUUUGGUACCGUAAAUAUGUCUAAUUGGAACGAUCUGACAAUCAGAAUCGAUGAUCAUCAACCAAACAGCGAAGUUGCAAGUUGACAGAAUAUUCGAGUGGCGAUUUUUUCGCACAGUUUUAUAAUUAAGUCUAUAGUGGCUAUAAUAAACGUUCCAGACAGCAAGCCAAUUGAGUCAAUUAGCAAUUUUUUUUGAAAAAAAGUACUAAAAUAAUGAAUAAUUAAUAAAUUCACUAAAUUUGAGAAGUA